UACCCGAUAGUGUAACGGUAGCACUUCAGAUUUUGGCUCUGACAGUCUAGGUUCAAAUCCUAGUCGGGUAG
rnacentral:tRNA from 1 species